rnacentral:rRNA from 1 species
AACGCUGGCGGCAGGCUUAACACAUGCAAGUCGAGCGCCUCGCAAGAGGAGCGGCAGACGGGUGAGUAACGCGUGGGAAUCUACCCAUCUCUACGGAACAACUCCGGGAAACUGGAGCUAAUACCGUAUACGUCCUUCGGGAGAAAGAUUUAUCGGAGAUGGAUGAGCCCGCGUUGGAUUAGCUAGUUGGUGGGGUAAUGGCCUACCAAGGCGACGAUCCAUAGCUGGUCUGAGAGGAUGAUCAGCCACACUGGGACUGAGACACGGCCCAGACUCCUACGGGAGGCAGCAGUGGGGAAUAUUGGACAAUGGGCGAAAGCCUGAUCCAGCCAUGCCGCGUGAGUGAUGAAGGCCCUAGGGUUGUAAAGCUCUUUCAACGGUGAAGAUAAUGACGGUAACCGUAGAAGAAGCCCCGGCUAACUUCGUGCCAGCAGCCGCGGUAAUACGAANGGGGCUAGCGUUGUUCGGAAUUACUGGGCGUAAAGCGCACGUANGCGGA